AGAGUUUGAUUAUGGCUCAGGAUGAACGCUGGCGGUAUGCUUUACACAUGCAAGUCGUACGAGAGUUUUUAACUCAAGUGGCGGACGGGUGAGUAACACGUAAGAAUUUGCCUUUAGGAGGGGGAUAACAACUGGAAACGGUUGCUAAUACCCCAUAUGCUUUCAAGUUCCGCCGAAACGGCGGACACUUGAAAUGUGAAACGGUUUUUCCGCCUAAAGAGAAGCUUGCGGCUGAUUAGCUUGUUGGUGAGGGAAUGGCUCACCAAGGCGACGAUCAGUAUCUGGUUUGAGAGGACGAUCAGACACACUGGAACUGAGACACGGUCCAGACUCCUACGGGAGGCAGCAGUGGGGAAUUUUCCGCAAUGGGCGAAAGCCUGACGGAAGCAAUACCGCGUGAGGGAUGACGGCCUAUGGGUUGUAAACCUCCUUUUCAGGGAGGAAUCAAAUGACGUGUACCUGAGGAAUAAGCAUCGGCUAACUCCGUGCCAGCCGCUGC
rnacentral:rRNA from 1 species